GCCGUACAUAUUGCCUUCCAUCUGAAGAA
rnacentral:sRNA from 1 species